rnacentral:rRNA from 1 species
GUCUUUUUGAGUUAUUUUUAAAGUCUGACCUGCCCACUGAAUUUUUAAAUGGCCGCAGUAUUCUAACUGUGCAAAGGUAGCAUAAUCAUUAGUCUUUUAAUUGAAGGCUGGUAUGAACGGUUGGACGAGGUAUAAGCUGUUUCAUAUAAAUUUAUAAUAGAAUUUUAUAUUUUAGUCAAAAAGCUAAAAUAUAAUUAAAAGACGAGAAGACCCUAUAAAUCUUUAUAUUUUAUAUAGUUUAAAUUUUUUAGAUUUAUUUUAUUUUUAUUAUAUUGAAUAUUUUGUUGGGGUGAUAUUAAAAUUUAAUAAACUUUUAAUUGUAUUUAAAUCAUUAAUUUAUGAAUUGUUGAUCCAUUAAUAGUGAUUAUAAGAUUAAGUUACUUUAGGGAUAACAGCGUAAUUUUUUUGGAGAGUUCAUAUCGAUAAAAAAGUUUGCGACCUCGAUGUUGGAUUAAGAUAUAAUUUUAGGUGUAGUCGCUUAAAUGUUAAGUCUGUUCGACUUUUAAAUUCUU